rnacentral:lncRNA from 1 species
UAGCCGAAUGUGAAAAGAAAAAGACGAGUUUGGAAGCUUUGAAUAUUCGGCACCUUUGGAAGCUUAAUUCGGGUAUGUGUUUUACUCGGUUUUUGAUAAUUUUUACGUUUUUGAGAUCGUUGCUUCGAGUACUAGUAAACCCAUGCCUUAAUUUUUGGAUUUAAUGAAGAAUUUGAAAUUUUCCAUUGUUUAUUAUGUGAUGAAAUUGUUGUUUGAUGAUGAAUAAUAAAUCUUUGAUGUUUGAUUUUCAUGUUUAAUUAAGUGAUUUUUGAUAAAAAUGUGUGUUAAGGACUAAAUUUAGAAAUUUGUAAAUUGAGGGGUCAAAACGUGAAAUAAAUAAAAGAAAUGGGCUGCUAGAGACCUAAGAUAAAUUCGGCCUAACAUGGGUUUGAUGAAAUUUUGAGUAAUUUGUGUUAUUUUGAAAUAGGGACUAAAUUGUGAAAAUGUGAAAUGUUAGGGGAUAAAUGAAAAAUGCCCAGAUUAUGUGUCCUUUGAUAAAAUUUAAUGAAAUGUUGAAUAAGUGAGUUAAUUUUGAUAUUAAUUAGAUUGGCAAAAGUAGAAUUCGAAUUUGGAUCGGGGGGAAAUCAAAGUGGUCGAUUAGUCGUCUCGUUUCGAUUACUGUUGUUCGAGGUAAGUCUAUAAGCAAUAAACAUUUUAAAUUUUGAAUGUAUAUGAUCUUUAUAUGCUGAAUUUAAUUGUGUGAAUUUUUAUUAGUUAUAGCUGAAUGUAUAAAUGUUUAUGAGAUUUGGGAACAAGUUCGAUUCAAUUGAGAUAUGAUGUUUGAAAAGCUUAAUAUGAACAUUAAGAAAUAAUUAGGAUUUCCGAAAUUUGAAUUAUGUGUAAGACCGACUUUGUAUCAGUGAUAUUCGGGAUUUAUUGCCUAGCAGACUUUGUGCCGGUGUAUUAAAUCAGGCUUAUUGCCUAGCAAGCUUUGUGCCGGUGUAUUAUAUCAGGCUUAUUGCCUAGCAGGCUUUAUAUGCCUGUAACAGCCUAAUUUUCAGUGGUAUCGGGAAUAGAGAUUUGAGAUCACCAAAUCCGACGAGAGAGUUAAAAAUUUAAUAAAUUAAUACCUAUGAGUCAAAUGCGAAUAUAAAAGCAUUUUUGAAUUAGUGAAUUUGGUGAUUUAAAAGAAUUAAUUAGGUAAAUUGGGUCGAGAAUGAGGUAUUGAGACCUCGACUUCAUAAAUCGAGCCAUAAAUAUUUUUAGAAAUAUUUAUGGAGUGUUGGUGAGGUAGUAUUAAAAUUUAGUCAGAAAAUUUUGACGUUUGGGUGGUUAAUUAAAUAAAAAGGACUAAAUUGAAAAGGGUGUAAAAGUUGCUAGAAGGAUUAAAUAGCUCAAUUGUCAAAUGAGGAAGGACCUAAAGUGCAAAUAAUCCUAAAGGAGAUAUUUUUGGCGGCAAUAGCUGAGAAAAAUCAGGAAAUGGAUGAAAUAAGGGCAAAAUUGGAAAAUUGCCAAAAUUGGCUAAAUAAAAAUGGGAUUAAAUUGGAAUAUCUAGAAUUCUCUUCAUUUUCUCUUCAUAUUCAUCAGAUGAAAAACAGCCAUGGAGGAGGGUUCAAGCUGGUUUUUAUACUCUAGCUUCAUGUAAGUUUAAUUCUUGCUUUCUCCUUGAAAUUUUUAUGUUUUUGUGACUUUUACAACUAGGUCCACUUGUUGAAUUCAUUAGUUUUUGAUUCUAUGAAAGAAAUUGAAAGUUUCUAUGAAUAUGUUCUGGAAGUAUAUGAUGAUUUGGCAUGGAAUUAGAGCUUUAAAUUAUUUACAUGCUGAUUUUAUUGAAAGAAUUGAAUAGAAAGUGAAUGUUUGGGACCUAAUUAUAAAAGAGUUUGAAGUUAGAGUUCCAUAUGGAAAUUCUGAAUUUCAAUAGUUAUGAAAUAACUUAUAAUGUCUAUAAAAAGUAUUAAUUGAGAAAAUUAUCUUAAUUGAGGGGUUAAUUGAGCAAGGACUGAAUUGUAUGAAUUGUGAAAUUUGGGGCAAAAUGGAAAUCAACAUUUUGCACUAAGACUGUUUUAGACAGCAGCAGUAGUCUAACUUUGAAAAAUCACCAAAAAUUAUAUAAAUCUAAUUAGAGGAUGAAUAAAAUAUGAAAUUAAAUCUUAUUGAGUCUAGUUUCUUAUAAAAGAAAUUAUGUAAGCAAUGGAAUUGUAAAUCAUGAGAUACAAUAACUUUUGUGAGACAAGGUUAGAAUGAUUUCGAGUUCUCCUGUUCUGACUUUGGAAAAUCAUAAAAAAUUUGAUAAAAAUAAUCAUGGGCUUAAAUUUAUAUUUUUAGAAUCCUGAAUGAGUCUAUUUUCAAGAAAAAUAAACGAGGACAUCAUUAGAAUUCUAUACAAGAAGAUAAUUAAUUUUUAGUGAAGAAGGGUCAGAACUGUCAGACAGCAGAAUAGGGGAGACUUUAAUGAAUAAACUGUAUUAAUUGGCCCAACCAAAAAUUAUGAAAUUUUUAUGGUAAGAAGGUAUAUGAGUCUAGUUUGAGGGAAAAUUAUCGGAUCUUAAUUUGGAGUUCUUUAGCUCAAGAUAAAAAUAAUUUAGUGACUAUGACACAGAUGGACAGCUUGAAUAUUCACAUAAGUAGAUAGUGAAAAUUAUGGAUAAUGUUACCUACAAGUGUGUUGUUUAUACUAAGGAUGUGGAAUGGAGAGGAGGAGGAUGAAAAAUAUGUAUGAAUAUUCAGCUAGCAUGGCUAAUUUGUAUGUUUUAGGCUCAAGGACUAAAUUGAAUAAAAGUAAAACUUUAUGGGUAAUUUUGUAAAAAUGUCGAAAAUGACUAAAUUGAAGGGAAUGAAUUGUUUUAUUAUCUAAAUUAAUAAAUUGAAUGAAAUUAUCAAUUUAAGAUUGGGUGAAAUUUGGGAAUAUGGUAAAUUACCAAUAUGCCCCUAAAUCUUGGUAUUUCUGCAAUUUAGUUAGGUAGGUUCGUAUAUCCUGCAUGAGCAUGUAAAUAUGAAAAUUUAAGUAUUGUAUCGUAUUUUAUAUGAUAUUUUAAAUUAAAUAUAUGAAAAAAAUGUUACAUGAAACAUGAAAAUGAAUACUAAAUAAUAUAAAUUAAUUGAAAUUAUUCUGAAAAUCUCGGUAAUGCCUCGUAUCCUAUCCCAGUCUCAGGUACGGGUAUGGGGUAUUACAAUGCCGGUGUAUUAUAUCAGGCUUAUUGCCUACCAGGCUCUGUGCCGGUGUAUUAUACUAGGCUUUAUGCCUAGCAAAUUUUAUCUGAACAACGGUAAAAGUAAUCAAAUGUGUUAAAUGAGCUAAAGUGAUCAGGUAUGUGAAUGUGGUUUACUUAUUUGAAAUGAAGGUAAAUUGGCUGAAAGAUAUGUGAUAAAAAUGUUAUGUAAUGUUGUAACACCCCCUACCCGUAUUCGUCGCCGGAAUAGAGUACGAGGCAUUAUCGAGAAGCACGAAACACUUACAGAUAAUUUAAAUACAUUUUCAUAACAAUUUGUUUCGAUUUCAUGCUAUUUCAUAUUUAAGCUUUAUUCACCAAAGUAUUUGACAUAUCAUCUUUAUGCAAAUAGCACACAUGAGGUACAUAAUUCCAUAAUUAUGAAUGAAAACAUUUAUCAAACACAUCUCAUGUUUUUAUAUAUAUCAUAGUUUCAUAUUUCCAUGUAUCAAUUACCAUCACUUCCUCGUAUUUCAGACAAAUACGUGUAACAAUUCAUAAAUAUGCAAUUCAUUAACUCUUCCUACCAAUCACGAUUUAAAUUGUCAAAUCACUUAUUGAGCCCAAUUUCAAUGUUCACUAAAAUCUAUCAUAUAAAUUUGGAUGUACGUAUUCAUCAAUAAAUUCCAUGUACAGAUAUCAUCAUCUCAUUUUUCCACAUACAUUUACUUUCCACAUUUAUGAAUUUAAAUAGCAUAUACAAGACUUACCAAUGUAUUUCAAGUACGUUUUCAUGAUAUUUCAUUUCAAACUCAGAUUAUUUCAUACUAGAAGUUUUCUCAUUAACUCAUUUGGAAUACCAAUUCAUACGGAUAAUACACUCAAGGUGUAGAAAUAUUUACUCACAAAUGAACUCAUUCAUCAACUAAGUUUUAUGCUCAUGCCUUAUCAACUCGUAUUUCCUUAUGUCACAUAAUUCCAUGUAAUACUUACCAAACUUCUUCAAAUUAGUGAACAUCUUAUGGAGUUGAGUACUUCAUUUUCUCGAUGCCAUAGUUCAACUAUGGUCUUACACAUCUUCACAUAAUGAUGCCAUAGCCCAGCUAUGGUCUUACACAUAUUCAUAUAUCGAUGCCCCUAGCUAUGGUCUUACACGUAAUCACAUAUCACAUAUCGAUGCCAUAGCCCAGCUAUGGUCUUACACGAAUCACAUAUCUCACUGAUGCCAAAUUCCAGAUAUGGUCUCAUACAGUAGCAUAUAUCACACCAAUGCCAUAUCCCAGAUAUGGUCUUAUACGGAAAUCACUUGUCACUUGUCACUUGUAGCCGAAGCUACCACUAUUCACUGAUCAGGUAGCCAGAGCUACCAUUUUUCACUGAUCAGGUAGCCGGAGCUACCACUUUUCACUGAUCAGGUAGCAGAAGCUACCACUUUUCACUGAUCAGGUAGCCGAAGCUACCACUUUUCAGUUGUCAUUUGUCAUUGAUCAGAUAAGUGUAGCCGCAGCUAUCACUUAUCACUUAUCACUUUCACUUGUCCUUGAUCAGAUAAGUGUAGCCGAAGCUAUCACUUAUCACUUGUUGCCAUGGUCCAACCAUGGUCUUUUCCUUUAAUUCAUCUUGUCACUGAACUGAAAUGCUCAAUUUGAUCAUUUAUUCAAUUUUCAUGCUUUUAUAUUAUUCACGAUUUUAUCAUCAAUACAUAUGAAAUAACACAUCAUGAAAUUCAUAAAAUUAACAAAUAAUCACUAAAAUUUAGCCAUAUAAACUCACAAGUUCAAUUUUUGUAUUAUAACGAUAAUCAUAAUUUCAUAAUAAAUAUUCCAAAUAAAACAUUAUAUCAUUUCUAAUCCAACACUUAUCGAUUAUAAUCGGGCAUGUGAUCAAUUUAUACACGAGUCAUUCAUAUAUAUGUAUAUUUUUCCACCUCCUCCUCUCCAUCCACAUCCUUAGUAUAAACAACACACUUGUAGGUAAGAUUAUCCAUAAUUUUCAUUAUCUAGUUAUGUGAAUAUUCAAGCUGUCCAUCUGUGUCAUAGUCACUAAAUUAUUUUUAUCUUGAGCUACAGAACUCAAAAUUAAGAUCCAUAAAUUUUCCCAGAAACUAGACUCAUAUGUCUUCUUACCAUAAAAAUUUCAUAAUUUUUGGUUGGGCCAAUUAAUACAGUUUAUUCAUUGAAGUCUCCCCUGUUCUGCCGUCUGACAGUUCCGACCCUUCUUCACUAAAAAUUAAUUAUCUUCUCGUAUAAGAUUCGAAUGUCCUCGUUUGUUUCUAUUGAAAAUAGACUCAUUCAAGAUUCUAAACAUAUAAAUUUAAGCCUCUAAUUAUUUUUAUCCAAUUUUUUAUGAUUUUCUAAAUUUAGAACAGGGGAACCCGAAAUCAUUUUGACCUUGUCUCACAAAAGUUAUUGUUUCUCAUGAUUUACAAUUCCAUUGCUUACAUAAUUUCUUUUAUAAGAAACUAGACUCAAUAAGCUUUAAUUUCAUAUUUUAUUCAUCCUCUAAUUAAAUUUAUAAAAUUUUUGGUAAUUUUUCAAAGUUAAACUACUGCUGCUGCCCAAAACAGUUUUAGUGCAAAAUGUUGAUUUCUAUUAUGCCCCAAAUUUCACAAUUCACACAAUUCAGUCCUUACUCAAUUAACCCCUCAAUUAAGAUAAUUUUCUAAAUUAAUACUUUUACUAGACAUUAUAAGUUAUUUCAUAACUAUUUAAAUUCAUAAUUUCCAUAUAAAACUCUAACUUCAAACUCUUUUACAAUUAGGUCUCAAACAUUCACUUUCUAUUCAAUUCUUUCAAUAAAAUCAGUAUAUAAACAAUUUAAAGCUCUAAUUCCAUGCUAAAUCAUCACAUAAUUCUAGCACAUAUUCAUAUCAACUUUCAAUUUCUUUCGUAGAAUCAAAAACUAAUGAAUUCAACAAGUGGACCUAGUUGUAAAAGUCAUAAAAACACAAAAAUUUCAAGAAAUAAUCAAGAAUUGAACUUAAUUGAAGUAAAAAUAUGAAAAAAAAGCUUAAGGGAACUCUUCCAUGGCGUUUUUUCUGAUGAUAAUGCAGAAAAAUAAAGAGAAAUCUAGAUAAUUCCACUUUAGUCCUAGCUUUAUUAAGUAAAUUUUGCAAAUUUUCCAAUUUUUCCCUUAAUUCUCCUUAUUUUCUUGCUGAUUUCAUGCCCAUGCCGUCCAACCCAAAUAGAACUUGGGUCUAUUUUCCUUUUAAACCCUCUUUCUUUUAUCAUUUAAGUUAUUUAAUCAUUUCCCACAAUUUUACAUUUGAUACAAUUUAGUCCUUUUUGUUCAAUUAACUAUCAGAACUUUAAAAUUUCUUGACGAAACUUUAAUACUAACUUAUUAACACUCUAUAAAUAUUUAUAAAAAUAUUUAUGGCUCGAUUUUAAAUUUCUGAGGUCUCGAUACCUCGUUUUCGAUUCCAAUUAUUUUAGUAUUUAUUUUUAGUACACUAUUCACUAUUUCAAAAUUUUUCCUAACUUCACGUUUAAAUUAUACUCACUAAAUUAAUAAUAUUUCCUACUCAUUUUUCGAAUUUAGUGAUCUCGAAUAAUUGUUUCGACACCACUGAAAAUUAGGCUGUUACAAAUGUUAUUUUCUGACGCAUGAAAAAUCGAUUUAAAAGGCUCAGGUAUGUAUUCAUACUAAAUUAUGAAAUUAUGGCAAGUGGAAUGUUCGAAUUAAUGAUAUAAAUGUUACAUGUUAAUGUGAAUUAUUUGUAUGCAUAUGUGAAAGUAUACAUUCGGUUUACUUAUGUAUUCAUGACAUAAAUGAGAGUAUAUAUGUAUAGGAAAAUCUAUAAUUGGCCAAAUGAAAAGUAUAGGUGAUUUUGUAAAUGAAAUGUAUAUGUUUUCAUAUUUGGCAAUUGUAAAAUAUAUAUUCGACCACAUAUUAUGUAUAUAUAUGUGUUAUUAUGGUUUGCUUUAUGAAGAUAUGUAUAUAAGAGUUUAAAUAUUCGGUUAUAUAUACAUUGAUAAUAUGGCUUUGAAGGGGUAUGUUAUUUUGAUAAUAGAUACAUGUAUAUUCGAUCAAGGUAAAAUUGUACAUGGAAGUAUAUGUUAUAUAUGAAAUUGUGAGCUUGAAAAUAAAUGUGAUCAUGAUAGUAUAAAUUAGUUUGAUUAAACUAAGUUGAUAUUAAUAUUGAGUUAUUUAUUUGCUUAUGACUUACUAAGCUCUUGAAGUUUACUCUGUGUGUUUUUCCUAUGUCUUUAGAGUUUCAGUGAAUUGCUCGAGUUGGAAGUUGUUGGAGACGUCAUCACACUAUCCGGUUAUCAUUUUGGUAACUAAUGCUUUGAGAUUUGGUUAUGUGGCAUGUAUAGGCUUGUUUUGAUAUAUUGGGUUUUGAAGUUUGUAAUGACCCAAAAUUCACGGGCACAGGAAAAGUGAGUUAUAGGGCUUCCGUAUUAGUGAAAUAAGUUCAAAAAUACUUAUUAGAAAUAUUUAUGAGUUUAGUAGCGUGUCUAAUUAGGCUUUAAUUAAGUGAAUUUAGCUUAAUUUAGAGAAAUUAGUAAAAAGAACUAAAUUGAAUAAGAGGUAAAAGUUUAAUUCUAAAGUAAUAGAAAAUAAAAAGGAUUAAAAAUGGUAAUUAAACCAUUUACAAAAGAUUAGGCGCCAUAUGCAUUAAAAAAAAUCUAAGAUUUUAUUAUUAUUAAUUAUUAGUAUGGUUUUAUAUUAAAUUAUUAUUAUAUUAAAUUAAAGAUAUUUAUUAAUUAAAUAAUUAAUUUAUGAUAUUUUUAUUUGACAAAUAAAUUGAAUAAUGACAAUUGUAAUAAAAAUAUUGGUACAUUUGUAAUAAAUAGAUACAUGUACACUUGAAAUAAAAUAAUUAAGUUACUUAAUAUUAAAGUAAAACAUAUUUGUUAAUUAAAUAAUUAAAUUAUUAAAUACUUGUGUGAAAAAAAAAAAUAGUGGCAAAUGUAUGGUAUUGAUGGUGUACACUUGUGUAUAUAAUUAAAUGCUUAAUAGAUAUUUAAAAUAAAUAUAAUAUAAUAUAUGUUAAUUAAGUAAAUAAAAGAAUAAGAGAAUGAAAUAAAAAGAAACAAAGAAAAGAAAGAACAGAGACAUUCGAAACAGAGCAGGAAGAAAAGGGGAAAGAAAAGAAAAAGGAAAAACUAAGAGUUUAAGGUUUAAAGCUUUGAUUGGUAAGUCAUUUAAGUCCUUUCUAUUUAAUUUUGAUGUUUUAGAAGUCUUAAAACAAUGUUUUGAUGAAAUUAAUUUGAUAGUUUGGAAGUUUAAAAGCUUUUAAACAAAGUUCAUGUUGAAGAAAAAGAAGAAUUAGGGAUUUAAUUGAAUGAAUUUUAAGUUAGAAAUUGAAAAAGGGAUUAAAUUGUAAAAGAAGCUAUAAGUUUUGUGUUUUAGGAAAUUAAAUUGAAAGAAAUUUUAAAUUAGGGUUUUAUAAUGAAUAGUAGAUUGUUAGGGUGAACAUGGAAGGAAAUUGAGUAGAAAUGAAGUAUAAAUUAAGUUAAACAAAUAAAAGAGUUAAUUAGGAUUAAAUGAGAAUUAGGGAAUAAAUUGAAUAAAAAUUCAAUUAAUUAUUAAAUUAAUGCUGUAAUUAAUAAUGUAAAUUGUUAUUAUUAUUUUUUUCGUAGCUAAAAAGGAAAAUGAGGCAUCGGCAUCCAAAGGAAAACAAAAGAUCGUUGAGGAGUAAACUCGUAUUCCGGGUUUGUAUUACUAUAACUCAAACUAUUUAUUAAAUGUAUAUUGAAUUUAUAGAUAUGGAAUAAUUAAGAUAAGGUAACUAUUAUAUUUAAAUUUAAAUAUAAGUAUGUGUGAAAAUUAAUUUGUAUAUGAAUUAAGAUAAUAGAUAUUUGAAUUGAUUGAGUAUUGAAAAUUUUUGUGUAAAUGAAAUUGAAAUUAGAAAAGUAAAAUAAUACCCUAUUAACUUGUCGGACUAGAUUUGAUACAAAUGGCAUACCAUUGGAUUUGUGAUGUGAUGAGGAGAUUGUAGUUCGGCCGAGAAGAUGUUUCUGUUAUUAUAUACUUCGGUUUAUCCGAAGAGGCAUUUAAUGCCUUACUGGUGUGUUAUGGAGGAUUUAUAAUAUUCCGGGUGUGUUUGGGUUCAAUAUUCUGGUGUGUUUGGGUGGAAUCCGCGUAUCUGUCAAAGUCCGAGCCUUGUUAAUAGGGUAAAUAAUUGAAAUGAAAUUUUGAAAAUUAGAUUAUUUGUUUUGGUACUAUUGAAAAGUAUGAGAAAGAAUGUAUGAACUAAAUUAUGAAUUGAGUUGGUAUGAAAAAAAAAAAUGAAUUAUAAAUUUAAGAUUUAUGAAGUAAUAUAAUUAUAUAUAUAAUUAGUUUAAAUAAAUAAUAAAUUUAUGGUUGAUGUUUGUAAUUUAUUAAUAAUAGUCUUGAUUUAUAGUAAUUUCACUGAGUUUGAAAUACUCAGCGUACGGUUAUUUCCGUGCGCAGGUCAUUAGAGUUUCGGAUCCAGUCUAGCAUCCAAAACAAACUCGACUCCAACAAAAUGAUUUUGGUGAUGUAUUUCUUCCUUUGUUAAUUGGCAUGUACUAGGUAACUGCAUAUAAAUUAUGUGUAUACAUUAAGUU